rnacentral:lncRNA from 1 species
ACCGAGUGUCAGUUAACGGAUAGCAGACCUCUCGGGCAAUUAUUAGUAGUAGUACUAUCGGUACUGUUAGUGCCACACAAUAUUUCUAAAACCCAUCAAGCGUGGACGAGAAGGAAGAGCUGUGAGGAGAGAAGGGUAAAGGAAUAAAUAAAAAUAUAUUCCUGCCGUCAACGGCCUGGAUAAUCUGUAUUGGACUAGGAGACUUCAAUUUUCGUGACCGCCUUUCCCCUCCACGUUUCCACCAGCCGAGAAGAUCCUCUGGGACUUGAUUCUCAGCGGGGCUUGAUCUCAGACAUUUCAAUUCCAGUGCGUUCCUCCCAGUGGGAAUUCGGGGCGCGACUUCGUGCGCACUGGGCCCACUCCCGGCCUUGCUCGCUGCCAGGAGCCUUCUGUACAAACGCGACCUUCUCCCAGGACUCAGCAAUGAGCGUUCAGCUCGGUUCGAAAUGAGCUCCCAGCAGGCGACCAUCCUGAGUGAAGGAAGGGAACCCGACCAUUUCUGGAAUCAGCGUAGUGUUCACGCCGUUUGCGAGAUUUCUCGGAAAUAAGAAAGAAAAAGAGGAAAGGGUUAAAAAGUUUAGCGAC